rfam:Gossypium raimondii Chr01_contig_806, whole genome shotgun sequence.
AAGUAAACAUUUCAUUCAUUUGUAUUGUUAAAAACUAAUGUGACUGAUGGACUAAUAAGAUACAGACAUGUGGCAUGUCACGUGUACCUCAUGCUAACGUAUAAGGAUUAGUUUUUAACAGCAAAAAUGGAUGAAAAUUUUAAUA